rnacentral:rRNA from 1 species
AUUGUCGGAUUGGGACCAAGAAGGCAUGCUCUGCUUACAUGAAUUGAUUAGUAGAGAAGAAGGACUGGCAGACGAUAUUCCACGUUUAAGGAAAUAUUUCAAAACCAAGUUUCGAAAUCGAAUUUUAGACUAUAUCCGUAAGCAGGAAAGUCAGAAGCGUAGAUACGAUAAAGAACCCUAUGAAGAAGUGGGUGAGAUCAGUCAUCGUAUAAGUGAGGGGGGUCUCUGGCUAGAUGAUUAUUAUCUCUUUCAUGAAACACUAAGAGAUUAUAGAAACAAACAAAGUAAAGAGAAACAAGAAGAACUAGAACGCGUCUUAAGCAAUGAACGAUUUCGAGGGCGUCAAAGAGUAUUAAGAGACUUACGCAUUGUGUUUAAGGAGUUUACUAUCCGUACCCAUUAGUAAGUCAUGCAAAAAAAAUAAAAAAAAAUUAGAAAAAGUAGUUGACAAAGUUUGAAAAGACUGUAUAAUAGUAAGAGUUGAAAAUAACAACUCAGGUCCGUUGGUCAAGGGGUUAAGACACCGCCUUUUCACGGCGGUAACACGGGUUCGAAUCCCGUACGGACUAUGGUAUGUUGCGUCAGGACCACUUGAUAAAAAAAAGUUUAAAAAAACUUAAAAAUCUUCAAAAAAGUGUUGACAAGUGAAAGUGGCUGUGAUAUACUAAUAUAGUUGUCGCUUGAGAGAAGCAAGUGACAAAGACCUUUGAAAACUGAACAAGACGAACCAAUGUGCAGGGCGCUACAACAUAAGUUGUAGUACUGAACAAUGAAAAAANNNNNNNNNNNNNNNNNNNNNNNNNNNNNNNNNNNNNNNNNNNNNNNNNNCUUAAAAGGUGCACUUGCAUCACUACCAGAUGGACCUGCGUUGUAUUAGCUAGUUGGUGGGGUAACGGCUCACCAAGGCGACGAUACAUAGCCGACCUGAGAGGGUGAUCGGCCACACUGGGACUGAGACACGGCCCAGACUCCUACGGGAGGCAGCAGUAGGGAAUCUUCGGCAAUGGACGGAAGUCUGACCGAGCAACGCCGCGUGAGUGAAGAAGGUUUUCGGAUCGUAAAGCUCUGUUGUAAGAGAAGAACGAGUGUGAGAGUGGAAAGUUCACACUGUGACGGUAUCUUACCAGAAAGGGACGGCUAACUACGUGCCAGCAGCCGCGGUAAUACGUAGGUCCCGAGCGUUGUCCGGAUUUAUUGGGCGUAAAGCGAGCGCAGGCGGUUAGAUAAGUCUGAAGUUAAAGGCUGUGGCUUAACCAUAGUAGGCUUUGGAAACUGUUUAACUUGAGUGCAAGAGGGGAGAGUGGAAUUCCAUGUGUAGCGGUGAAAUGCGUAGAUAUAUGGAGGAACACCGGUGGCGAAAGCGGCUCUCUGGCUUGUAACUGACGCUGAGGCUCGAAAGCGUGGGGAGCAAACAGGAUUAGAUACCCUGGUAGUCCACGCUGUAAACGAUGAGUGCUAGGUGUUAGACCCUUUCCGGGGUUUAGUGCCGUAGCUAACGCAUUAAGCACUCCGCCUGGGGAGUACGACCGCAAGGUUGAAACUCAAAGGAAUUGACGGGGGCCCGCACAAGCGGUGGAGCAUGUGGUUUAAUUCGAAGCAACGCGAAGAACCUUACCAGGUCUUGACAUCCCUCUGACCGCUCUAGAGAUAGAGNUUUCCUUCGGGACAGAGGUGACAGGUGGUGCAUGGUUGUCGUCAGCUCGUGUCGUGAGAUGUUGGGUUAAGUCCCGCAACGAGCGCAACCCCUAUUGUUAGUUGCCAUCAUUUAGUUGGGCACUCUAGCGAGACUGCCGGUAAUAAACCGGAGGAAGGUGGGGAUGACGUCAAAUCAUCAUGCCCCUUAUGACCUGGGCUACACACGUGCUACAAUGGCUGGUACAACGAGUCGCAAGCCGGUGACGGCAAGCUAAUCUCUUAAAGCCAGUCUCAGUUCGGAUUGUAGGCUGCAACUCGCCUACAUGAAGUCGGAAUCGCUAGUAAUCGCGGAUCAGCACGCCGCGGUGAAUACGUUCCCGGGCCUUGUACACACCGCCCGUCACACCACGAGAGUUUGUAACACCCGAAGUCGGUGAGGUAACCGUAAGGAGCCAGCCGCCUAAGGUGGGAUAGAUGAUUGGGGUGAAGUCGUAACAAGGUAGCCGUAUCGGAAGGUGCGGCUGGAUCACCU